AUUGAACGCUGGCGGCAUGCCUUACACAUGCAAGUCGAACGGCAGCGGACCUUCGGGUGCCGGCGAGUGGCGAACGGGUGAGUAAUGCAUCGGAACGUACCUUUCAGGGGGGGAUAACGUAGCGAAAGUUACGCUAAUACCGCAUAUUCUGUGAGCAGGAAAGCAGGGGAUCGCAAGACCUUGCGCUGAUUGAGCGGCCGAUGUCAGAUUAGCUAGUUGGUGAGGUAAAGGCUGACCAAGGCGACGAUCUGUAGCGGGUCUGAGAUGAUGAGCCGCCACACUGGAACUGAGACACGGUCCAGACGCUUACGGCAGGCAGAAGUGGGGAAUUUUGGAAAAUGGGGGCAACCCUGUUCCAGCCAUGCCGCGUGAGUGAAGGAGGCCUUCGGGUUGUAAAGCUCUUUCGGCCGGGAAGAAAUCGCACGGGCUAAUACCCUGUGUGGAUGACGGUACCGGAAUAAGAAGCACCGGCUAACUACGUGCCAGCCGCUGCCGUAA
rnacentral:rRNA from 1 species